rnacentral:rRNA from 1 species
UACGUAGGGUGCGAGCGUUAAUCGGAAUUACUGGGCGUAAAGCGUGCGCAGGCGGUCUUGCAAGACAGAUGUGAAAUCCCCGGGCUCAACCUGGGAACUGCAUUUGUGACUGCAAAGCUGGAGUACGGCAGAGGGGGAUGGAAUUCCGCGUGUAGCAGUGAAAUGCGUAGAUAUGCGGAGGAACACCGAUGGCGAAGGCAAUCCCCUGGGCCUGUACUGACGCUCAGGCACGAAAGCGUGGGGAGCAAACAGG